rnacentral:rRNA from 1 species
GACGAACGCUGGCGGCGUGCUUAACACAUGCAAGUCGAACGGACGGACUCGAUAGCUUGCUAUUGGGAAAGUUAGUGGCAAACGGGUGAGUAACGCGUAGGCAACCUGCCCUUCAGAUGGGGACAACACUUCGAAAGAGGUGCUAAUACCGAAUGACGUAUCCAUUCCGCAUGGAGAGGAUACCAAAGGCCGGGCAACCGGUCACUGAAGGAUGGGCCUGCGUCUGAUUAGCUAGUUGGUGGGGUAACGGCCCACCAAGGCGACGAUCAGUAGCCGGUCUGAGAGGUUGAACGGCCACAUUGGGACUGAGACACGGCCCAGACUCCUACGGGAGGCAGCAGUGGGGAAUAUUGCACAAUGGGCGCAAGCCUGAUGCAGCAACGCCGCGUGGAGGAAGACGGUUUUCGGAUUGUAAACUCCUGUUCUUAGUGAAGAAUAAUGACGGUAGCUAAGGAGCAAGCCACGGCUAACUACGUG